UACGGAGGGUGCAAGCGUUAUCCGGAUUCACUGGGUUUAAAGGGUGCGUAGGCGGAUAUGUAAGUCCGUGGUGAAAUCUCUGGGCUUAACCCGGAAACUGCCAUGGAUACUAUGUGUCUUGAAUGUUGUUGAGGUGAGCGGAAUAUGUCAUGUAGCGGUGAAAUGCUUAGAUAUGACAUAGAACACCAAUUGCGAAGGCAGCUCACUAAGCAAAUAUUGACGCUGAGGCACGAAAGCGGUGGGAUCAAACA
rnacentral:rRNA from 1 species